AAACACAACGAGGCGGUCACUGCGCGUGAGGCCGAGACGCUGAAAGUCCGGAUUUAAAGUGCAGAAAAUUAAGCCAUUGAAUCUGCCUGUCCAUGACGUACAAAGACACACUAUGAGCCAGUAUGAUCCGACCAGACCUUACAUCAGCAUUGAGGAGUUGUCGGAGAAGAAAGAGGCUGAUUGAAGUGGGACAGAUGACAUGGAUCCAUCCUUCCACAGUC